GCUAAAGCGUUGAUAGGAAAAAGUAGCAUGCUGCACAUACCAAAAGAGAGUCGGUGGCUGGUGAAAACCGAUGUAUGACACUUGUGAAUCCAUCCUUGAGCACUUGGCCGAAUUGCCUUAGUGGCAUAGUAAGUCAAAUCGGUAAGAUUAUUACCGUUAUCGAAUGAAGUGGGAGAAGGCGAUAGGUCUUUUUCAACAAGGGUGGCAACACGGGAAUUCAACUCUCGUCCCUAUU
rnacentral:ncRNA from 1 species